AGGCAUAACCGCAUUGUGGUUUUGUCGCAAGAAGGGUCAUCUUCACACAAUCCCAUGUAAUGAACAAGAAUGGGAUAAAGAGUGUUGGCUUACAAUCGCCACUUCACACAAUACAUAAAUAAAUUCAUACAUCAUCCAAAAUAUACACAUAGACCGACUACGGUCAAAUCCAAAUGAAAAGAAGAUAACCCCAAAUGCUAGAUCCCCGAUCGUCCCAACUGGGCUCCACUACUGAUCAUAAGGAAACGAAACAUAGUAACGACCAAGGUCCUCGUCAAACUCCCACUUGAGCUCGGUUGCGUCACCUGCACUGGUAUCAACGGCACCUGCAACUUUUUCGGAAGUAUCUGUGAGUCACGAGGACUCAGCAAUCUCACACCCGCGAGAUCAAGACUAUUUAAGUUUAUGGGUAGGAGAAGGUAGUGAGGUGGAGCUGCAGCAAGCACUAAGCAUAUAUGGUGGCUAACAUACGCAAAUAAUAGCGAGAAGAGGAGCAACGGAAACGGUCGUCAACUAGUAAUGAUCAAGAAGUGAUCCUGAACUCCUACUUACGUCAAACAUAACCCAAAAGCCGUGUUCUCUUCCCGGACUCCGCCGAAAAGAGACCAUCACGGCUACACGCGCGGUUGAUGCAUUUUAAUUAAGUCGAGUGUCAAGUUCUCUAGAACCGGAUAUUAACAAAUUCCCAUCUGCCACAUAACCGCGGGCAAGGCUCUCGAAAGUUUAUACCCUGCAGGGGUGUCCCAACUUAGCCCAUUAUAAGCUCUCACGGUCAACGAAGGAUAUUCCUUCUCCCGGGAAGACCCGAUUAGUCUCGGAAUCCCGGUUUACAAGACAUUUCGAAAAUGGUAAAACAAGACCAGCAAAGCCGCCCGAUGUGCCGACAAAUCCCGAUAGGAGCUGCACAUAUCUCGUUGUCAGGGCACACCGGAUGAGCAAGACAUCGGGUUGGCAUAGAACCGGGUUGCCCAGGGGGCGCCGGACAUCGCUCGGUUUGGACCAGCACUCGAAGGAGCACUGGCCCGGGGGUUUAAAUAAAGAUGACCCUUGAGUCUGUAGAACCCAAGGGAAAAAGGCUUAGGUGGCAAAUGUUAAAACCAAGGUUGGGCCUAGCUGGAGGAGUUUUAUUCAAAGCGAACUGUCAAGGGGGUCCCAUAAAUCACCCAACCGCGUAAGGAACGCAAAAUCAAGGAACAUAACACCGGUAUGACGGAAACUAGGGCGGCAAGAGUGGAACAAAACACCAGGCAUAAGGCCGAGCCUUCCACCUUUACCAAGUAUAUAGAUGCAUUAAUUAAAUAAGAGAUAUUGUGAUAUCCCAACAUAUCCAUGUUCCAACAUGGAACAAUCUUCAUCUUCACCUGCAACUAGCAACGCUAUACGAGGGGCUCAGCAAAGCGGUAACAUAGCCAAGCAACGGUUUGCUAGGAAGGCUGAAAAGGUUAGAGGCUGACAUGGCAAUAAGGGAGGCAUGAUAUAACAAGUGGUAGGUAGCGCAACAUAGCGAUAGAGCGAACAACUAGCAAGCAAAGAUAGAAGUGAUUUCGAGGGUAUGGUCAUCUUGCCUGAAAUCCCGCUAGGAAGAAGAACGAGUCCAUGAAGAAGACAAACGGAUGUAGUCGAAGGAAUCCUCACAACUCCAGAACGAAACCGAAGCUAACGAGAGAAGCAAACCGGAAAGAAGCAAACAACAUGGUAAACAACCAUCACAUGAACAUGGCAUGAUGCGCAACCAAGUAUGAUGCAUGUCCGGUUUAAUGAGGCAUGGCAUGGCAAAGUGCACAAACAAUACUACAAAUUAAGUGGAGCUCAAUAUGCAAUGAGUUGCAUAUAGACGAAACACCACAUUCGAGUUAUUUAGUUCGCUCUCGUUAAGGUACACAACAAUAUUAAAUGUUUUUAAACAUGGCAAGAGGUGAAUCAUAUGAAAACUACCUAUCUAGGCAAGUUUAAAUGAGGCCGGAACAACAAACAACAAUUCCGGAAAAUCCCCAUUUGCAUAUUUUGAAUUUGCUACUGUUCUGCCCUAAACACAAUUUUAAUGUUGUUAAACAGCAAAAUAAAGUGCACCAUGUUAAACUAGGCAUUUUUCUACCCCAUUUACAUAUAAAGUUUAUUUAAAUCCAAGCGACGGUUAUUUAGUUAUGAAAUAAAUCAUUUUAACAUGGCAUUUAUACAAAUUUAAACAAACAGCAAGUUUAAACAUUUUUAACAUGGAUGAAAGUAGCAUAUUAUGAAACUAGAUGAAAAACUAAGCAUUUUACAUGUAUAAAGUUUUACAUAUGAUGCACGGUUUUGAGUCACUAAAUGCAUGAUCUAGAGGGACUAAAUUGUAAAACAGUUGUCCUGGACAAAUGGAAAAACCGUUGAGCAGAGAAAAAAACAAUACUGGGCCAGAAGGAGAAGGUUAGUGCAGACCACCGGCGGAUUAGGCCCAAGCGCGUGUGAGUCAAUGUUGAUAAGAAGAACCAGAGGAAAAACCUGAGGCGCCUGGGACUCGAUCCCAAGACCUCUUGGACAGAGCAAGGAUUUCUGACCAGACGGGCUACUACUGAGCUCGUAGAGAAGCCUAGUGGCAAUUGUAAAUGAACUAUACAUGCGAGAACGGAUCUAGGAAAAGAAAGAAGGUUCGGUUAUGACGGAAGUUGCUCACAGCGAGGAAACAACAAGGCCGGUGGCCAUGGCGAGGCAGGGGCGCAGCUCGAGGUUGGGACUUGAGCGGCUAGUGCUGCUAGCGCGGUGGGGAGGUGGAGGAGGCCGGCGAGGAGGCGUGGAGGAAGGUGGCGGCUCAUCUGUUGGGUUCGCCGGCGAGAUGGAGCAGCGGCUGCUGCUGUUGCCUGAAGAAAGAAAAGAGAGAGAGAUAUUCAGAGAAGCAGUACAGAAAGGGGAAGAAGAGAGAAGGCGAGGGCGACGGGCGCGCGACCUGCGGGGCUCCGGUGGCGCGGCCGGGCAUGUGCGAGGAGGAGGCACGGGGUUGCGGAUCCGAACGGCGGGGGUCCUACGGGUCCUUGCUCCGGCUUGCAGAAGAACGAGCGGCGCCAUGUCCCUGUGCAGAGAACGAGAGAGAGAGACCAUGAGAGAGCAGAGAGAUGGAGAGGGAAAUGAAGAGAGAGGCCGGGCACGCGACCUGGGGCGACUGGAUGCUCAACCACAUGGGGUCUCCGAUGGCGCUACUGCUGCUCCGGGGCGGCAGUCAUGGCGGGGCAUGCUCCUAUUCUCCCUGAAGAAAGAGAGCGAGACCGCGGGGUGAGGGAGAGAGAAGAACCAGGGGAAGAAGGAAAAGAGAAGGAGAGGCAGGGUGCGGCGCGGGGACGGCCUGCAGGUGGCCGAAGGCUGGCCGGGGUGGCCUGGUAGAUGAUCGUCGGUGGAGGGAGCUCCGGUGGGGUGAUGUGGUCGUGGACGAGGAGCCUGCGGCCUCGGACGCCGGCGGGAAAGAAGCAGAGGGCUCGGGGCUGCAGCUGCUAGCUUCUGUAGGCGCGGACAACGACGACUGCGGGCGGCCGGGCGCGUCCAGGUCCAAGGGAGGAGGAGGCACGAGGCGCUAGUGCUGCUCGGGGUCGAGCCUUUGCUCUCCCGAGCAAGGAGGCGGCGGGAUCGAGGGGAAGCUUUGGGGCUGGUUCUGGUUGGUGGGAUUGGAUCGGGGGGAAUGAGGAGAUCCCGAGGAAGAAAGGGAGGUGGGUGGCGGCGGCUCGGGAAUAGGUGGAUGGAUGGGACAGGAUCCCUAGUUUCUAGGGUUAGAGUAGACUGAUUAUAUAGUGAGUGGUUUAGUUUAGGGGCUACCUCGUCCCUCCGAUCGCAAUCGGACGAUCGAGAAUAAAUAGGUAGGGAGUCCAAAUAACAAAAUGGAGAUAUUUAAUAGAUGUUAGGGGAUGAUCCGGACCCAAUGGUCAUGACUGAGCGAUUCGGGUUCGGGACAGCUUCGGACGCGCACACAAGGGGGUUUGUGCACUGUACAGAGAGACUCCAGUUUAGGCAAGAGGGCAAACGAAUAACAAGGUUGGUCUCAGAAUGGUCAACGAAAGCAAGGGGGGGACACGGCAACUACGAGUGGAUGCAAGUUUUAGAAACAAAGACGGCAACGAGGUGCCGAUGCAAUGCGAAUGAUGCCAUGAUGAACGCAACAAGCAAAUAAAACACACAACAACAACGAAAUAACUGGAAGGCUUCUAAAGCGUCGGUCUCGGGGCGUUACCACACUCCACCACUACAAGAGGAUCUCGUCCUGAGAUCUAGGAUGGCACCAGAGAGAAACGGAAGAGGAAGAGGUAAAAAAAGUUGCUUCUUUGACAAAUGAGUGAAACCAAAGAACCUUGAGAGGUCGCAAAGCUUGAAGAUAUGACAGGACGGAGGUGAACAAAAUUUAAACACUCCGUUCAGCAAGAGGAACGAGGUCCAUUACAUGAACCUUGUAGGUUGAAAAACAUGGAAAUAAGAGCUUCACGAACGAAAAGAAUAUGGCCACACCGAUAGAAAAGAGAAACAAGGAACACCAUGUGAACUUUCGAGUUUGCAAAGCUAUGAAUGACGAGAACAAUGGACGAGAAGUACAUGCAAGCACACCGGUUGAAACGAGAUGUACAAGGAGCGAUAAGGAUCAAUUACGAUAACGCUCCGGUCGGAAAUGAAAAGAAUAGAAUUUGAACUUGGCAAAAUGAAAGCAUUUGGAUGAGACUCCGGUUAAAAGAGGAAUCAUAGACACAACACUCCGGUUAAAUGGAUAAGUAAGAAAAGAACACGAUCCCCACAACUAGAGAUGAUGAUAGAAGAGAGCAACAUCACAAUGCCUCCGGAAGAAAUGAAAGAAUGGAAUGGAAUGAACAGAGGGAAACAAGAUCUUGAGAGAGCACGCUUACAACAAAUGCUAGAACGGAGUUGUUGGAUUAUCAACAACGAAAGGGUAAGCUUGAUGUGGGCUUAUGGAAGACAUGUCAAAAUUAUGAGGUGACAACCUGCCAUUCACCAAAAAAAAGAUUUGAUUGAGAGCUAGAAAAGAUAGAAAGCUUCUUCCACCGAGGUGAUAAGAAACUUGGAUCAUAUGUAAUCAUCACAAAGAGCAGCAUUCCCAAUGGAAGGCUUUAGGUGAAAUAUAUAACCCAAGAUAACUCCAAUGAAGGAAUGAUGGGUUUAAAUAUUUCAUUCUUAACAACUUGUGAACCUUGAAACACGAAGGAAAAUUGUCAAAAAUGGCAUAACACCAUCUCAGAAGAUAAGAUAGAGAGAAUUGCACUUCGGAAUGCAAGAUGAAGAAUGCUUGAACUCCUCAAAACAAGACAUGUGUUGAACACCAUUUUAUUUUAGAGUAUAGCUUCGCGGAUCAUAACUUCGAGAGAAUUCUUGAAGAACAAUUGAAGAAUGAAAAGAAUCUUUGAUGAACCACCAUGUAGAGCCUCCAUGAAGAACUCCGGUAAUGAAAAGAUGAUAAAAAGAAAGAUAAGUUGACAACACAAGGUGAAGCCUUGCAAUGAUUUAGAUGGAUCUUCGGGAUGAUAUAAUCGAUAAAACUUGGAACUCCGGAAAGAAAAGAUGAACAACUUGGAACCGAGAAUUUCAUAUCAUGAACGAACUCCGGAAGAAGGAAUUAAUCACUUGGAGGAAACAAGAAUAAGAAUUACAUUACGCGUAUCCUUCACCAAUUUAGAUUGAUGACAACCAACGGAUUUGGCAAACUACUUAUUCUCGUAGAAAGGAUUAAGAUAGAUAUAGCGCAAACUUGAGAAGGACUUCAACGAACCACCGGUAGGAUUGGAAAGAACGAAUGAAUCUAUAUGAUAACGAAGGAAGAGAACUCUUGAACGAACCACCGUGAGAAUUGAAAAUGAACGAAGAAAAGAUAAGGAAACACCGGGAAGAAUUAGAAAAUGAACGAAGAUACUUGAGAGAAUUUAGAUACAAGUGAACGCAGAGAUCAAGAGCUGACUAGAUGAUACUUGAACGAUUCACCGGUAAGAUUUGGAGAACGAGAGCUGAAAGCUUGAAUGAAUAUUCUGAGAUGAUGAGCUCCGGAGAAUCAAACUGAAAAGACUCCUGAAAUGCUCCGGAUGGGUGAAAAGAAUUCUCACAAUGGAAAACAAUUAUGAGAGGAUGGCAUCAAGCUAGAACCAUGAAUCUUGAAGAGAAUGGAGCAAGAUUUAAGAGAAACUCUUCUUCGGUCUUCAAAUGUUGAGAAUGACGAUGAGAAACACCACCAUGAAUUGUUGAGGCACUCCGGAAUGACAAUUAGAAAGAUUGAACCAACAAUGAAAAGAAUUUAAAAGAUCUUGGAGAAAGACAUUUGACUGAUGAUAAUUCAUUCUUACGUCAAACUUUGCAAUCAAUUUGAGAAUAACUCCGGAAAGAAUUAGAAGAGUUAGGUAAAAUCCUGGGAAAAGACCUGUGGGUUAGGGCCCACUCAAGAGAAACACCGUUGAACAAUUUCAAAGAGAGAUUGCGCCGGUUGAAUUAAAUGGCUUGAAUGAGAUAACAACCUCAAAAUAGCUUGAACGGAUCUUGAAUGAAAACACGAAUCUCCUAAGAUAUCUUCAACACUCCGGAACAAAAGAAUAGCGAGCGGUGAAAGAUUAAGAGAUACACCGUCAUAUGAAAGCACUUGAAACGGGGAAGGGGAUAAGAUCAACACCUGCAACUUUAAUUGAAUCCACCGAAAAAGAAUACGAGAAUGAAGAACGGUACACUUGAAGCUUCGUUAGUAUCUUCCCGAGAAUCACCAGAUAAGAACAUUGACGGAAAAAAAAUGGAGAGACUUCCCAUCUAUAAGAUGGAUACUUGAUUAAGAAAUCUGAGUCCUUGAAGAAAAAGGGUGGGAGGGCGGGGAAAACAAAGACAACUUGGGGACGGAUGAAACGAACAACGUUGGGAAACUGAGAAGUGAUCUUGCAAAUGUUGAAAUGAUUGGAUCCACUUGAAGAGAAGCACGCCGGUUGGAAAAGAGUCGACAUGACAACCUCAGUGAUCAAGAAGGAUUAGCACUCCCAUAGAAAUAUGAGAACACUGUUCAGAAAAGGUAUGGAAUCCACAUUUGACUUCAAAGAAACUCGAAUACCACAACUCAAAAAAAAACAAAGGAUUGGCUUGCAGAAUAAGCCAGAACAAACAUAUGAUAGAGAUUUCGUCCGAAGUUUUCGUGGUGGGUCCCACACGGGCUCGAUCGUACAGCACCAUCAUGUACAAGGCAGUGCACAUGACAUACGAAGUGUCCCCGAGUCGGCAUGGCCAAGGACUCUUUAAGACACUACGAGACCACUGUAAAACCAACCGUGGAAAGGCGGACCACCAGACGUCGAACCCCAAUCUCAUAUCAUGCAUCUGUCGGAAAGAUAUCCUAGGAGCUACAUGAAUUCCCACUUAUAAACUCCCGAAACUUUCUAGUUAUGCAAUCAGGUGUUGGGGAUACAGGGGACGCAAUAUAUCUCACCCAAACUAACAAUCCCUAGAUCCAGCUGUAUCCAUCCGUCAACACAUAACCAAGAAACCUUCGGAAAUCAUUUACCUCAACCUUCGAAAAGCAUCCGUUAUAUGAGUUCUCGCAAUACUCCCGAACUCCCGCCCCAGUACUGGGUGGCGUCAAGGUGAUCUCACCAACAACUGCAUAAAAGAGAUUUUCGAUGUCGGCGAAACUCAGGUAUUCCAGAACUGCAACGAUAAAAUUGUGACGACAACACCUCGGAGCUCAACUCCCCGGGACACUGCCACAACCCCUAAAUGUCAGGAGGCACCAAGAACAAUGUUCUCGUCACAAAACCAUCGGAACGAUUCCAAGAUACCCGCGUGAUCCUAAAUUUUUUUGUGAAAUUUGAGGAGAGGAGAGUCAAAACUUCUACGUCAGGGGGCCUCACCAGAGCGACGAAGGUACUGAGGAGUAAAAAGAAUCCUACUCUCCGAUAUAUAUAAUCCUAAGACUCAAAACAUUUUUUCUAGACACAACAACGCCAGCGAUUCGAUCAAGCAGGGGGCUCCUAAGUCGGGGCUGGCUCUGAUUACCAACUUCUAACACCCACGAUGCGGCUAUAUCUCCCACGUGUCGAGGCACGACUUAGAGGCAUAACCGCAUUGUGGUUUUGUCGCAAGAAGGGUCAUCUUCACACAAUCCCAUGUAAUGAACAAGAAUGGGAUAAAGAGUGUUGGCUUCCAAUCGCCACUUCACACAAUACAUAAAUAAAUUCAUACAUCAUCCAAAAUACACACAUAGACCGACUACGGUCAAUCCAAAUGAAAAGAAGAUAACCCCAAAUGCUAGAUCCCCGGUCGUCCCAACUGGGCUCCACUACUGAUCAUCAGGAAACGAAACAUCGUAACGACCAAGGUCCUCGUCGAACUCCCACUUGAGCUCGGUUGCGUCACCUGCACUGGUAUCAACGGCAUCUGCAACUGUUUUGGAAGUAUUUGUGAGUCACGAGGACUCAGCAAUCUCACACCCGCGAGAUCAAGACUAUUUAAGCUUAUGGGUAGGAGAAGGUAGUGAGGUGGAGCUGCAGCAAGCACUAAGCAUAUAUUGUGGCUAACAAAUGCAAGUAAGAGCGAGAAGAGGAGCAACGGAAACGGUCGUCAACUAGUAAUGAUCAAGAAGUGAUCCUGAACUCCUACUUACGUCAAACAUAACCCAAAAGCCGUGUUCUCUUCCCGGACUCCGCCGAAAAGAGACCAUCACGGCUACACACGCGGUUGAUGCGUUUUAAUUAAGUCGAGUGUCAAGUUCUCUACCACCGGAUAUUAACAAAUUCCCAUCUGCCACAUAACCGCGGGCACAGCUCUCGAAAGUUUAUACCCUGCAGGGGUUUCCCAACUUAGCCCAUUAUAAGCUCUCACGGUCAACGAAGGAUAUUCCUUCUCCCAUGAAGACCCGAUCAGUCUCGGAAUCCCGGUUUACAAGACAUUUCAACAAUGGUAAAACAAGACCAGCAAAGCCGCCCGAUGUGCCGACAAAUCCCGAUAGGAACUGCACAUAUCUCGUUCUCAGGGCACACCUGAUGAGCAAGACGUCGAGUUGGCAUAGACCCUGGUUGCCCAGGGGGCGCCCGACAUCGCCCGGUUUGGACCAGCACUCGAAGGAGCACUGGCCCGGGGGUUUAAAUAAAGAUGACCCUUGAGUCUGCAGAACCCAAGGGAAAAAGGCUUAGGAGGCAAAUGUUAAAACCAAGGUUGGGCCUUGCUGGAGGAGUUUUAUUCAAAGCGAACUGUCAAGGGGGUCCCAUAAAUCACCCAACCGCGUAAGGAACGCAAAAUCACGGAACAUAACACCGGUAUGAUGGAAACUAGGGCGGGAAGAGUGGAACAAAACACCAGGCAUAAGGCCGAGCCUUCCACCCUUUACCAAGUAUAUAGAUGCAUUAAUUAAGUAAGAGAUAUUGUGAUAUCCCAACAUAUCCGUGUUCCAACAUGGAACAAUCUUCAUCUUCACCUGCAACUAGCAACGCUAUGAGAGGGGUUGAGCAAAGCGGUAACAUAGCCAAGCAACGGUUUGCUAGGAAGGCUGAAAAGGUUAGAGGCUGACAUGGCAAUAAGGGAGGCAUGCUAUAACAAGUGGUAGGUAGCGCAACAUAGCGAUAGAGCGAACAACUAGCAAGCAAAGAUAGAAGUGAUGUCGAGGGUAUGGUCAUCUUGCCUGAAAUCCCGCUAGGAAGAAGAACGAGUCCAUGAAGAAGACAAACGGAUGUAGUCGAACGAAUCCUCACAACUCCGGAACGAAACCGAAGCUAACGAGAGAAGCAAACUGGAAAGAAGCAAACAACAUGGUAAACAACCAUCACAUAAACAUGGCAUGAUGCGCAACCAAGUAUGAUGCAUGUCCGGUUUAAUGAGGCAUGGCAUGGCAAAGUGCACAAACAAUACUACAAAUUAAGUGGAGCUCAAUAUGCAAUGAGUUGCAUAUAGACGAAACACCACAUUCGAGUUAUUUAGUUCGCUCUCGUUAAGGUACACAACAAUAUUAAAUGUUUUUAAACAUGGCAAGAGGUGAAGCAUAUGAAAACUACCUAUCUAGGCAUGUUUACAUGAGGCCGCAACAACAAACAACAAUUCCGGAAAAUCCCCAUUUGCAUAUUUUGAAUUUGCUACUGUUCUGCCCUAAACAUAAUUUUAAUGUUGUUAAACAGAAAAAUAAAGUGCACCAUGUUAAACUAGGCAUUUUUCUACCCCAUUUACAUAUAAAGUUUAUUUAAAUCCGAGCAACGGUUAUUUAGUUAUGAAAUAAAUCAUUUUAACAUGGCAUUUAUACAAAUUUAAACAAACAGCAAGUUUAAACAUUUUUAACAUGGAUGAAAGUAGAAUAUUAUGAAACUAGAUGAAAAACUAAGCAUUCUACAUGUAUAAAGUUUUUACAUACGAUGCAUGGUUUGUCAGUCAUUAAAUGCAUGAUCUAGAGGGACUAAACUGUAAAAUAGUUGUCCUGGACAAAUGGAAAAACCGUUGAGCAGAGAAAAAAAACAAUACUGGGCCGGAAGGAGAAGGUCAGUGUAGACCACCGGCGGAUUAGGCCCAAGCGCGUGUGAGUCAGCGUUGACAAAAAGAACCAGAGGAAUAACCUGAGGCGCCUGGCACUCGAUCCCAAGACCUCUUGGACAGAGCAAGGAUUUCUGACCGGACGGGCUACUAAUGAGCUCGUGGAGAAGCCUAGUGGCAAUUGUAAAUGAACUAUACAUGCCAGAACGGAUCUAGGAAAAUAAAGAAGGUUCGUUUAUGACGGAAGUUGCUCACAGCGAGGAAACAACAAGGCCGGUGGCCAUGGCGAGGCAGGGGCGCAGCUCGAGGAUGGGACUUGAGCGGCUGGUGCUGCUGGCAUGGUGGGGAGGUGGAGGAGGCCAGCGAGGAGGCGUGGAGGAAGGUGGCGGCUCAUCUGCUGGGUUCGCCGGCGAGAUGGUGCAGCGGCUGCUGCUGUUGCCUGAAGAAAGAAAAGAGAGAGAGAUAUUCAGAGAAACAGAACAGAAAGGGGAAGAAGAGAGAAGGCGAGGGCGACGGGCGCGCGACCUGCGGGGCUCCGGUGGCGUGGCCGGGCAUGUGCGAGGAGGAGGCACGGGGUUGCGGAUCUGAACGGCGGGGGUCCUACGGGUCCUUGCUCCGGCUUGCAGAAGAACGAGCGGCGCCAUGUCCCUGUGCAGAGAACGACAGAGAGAGACCAUGAGAGAGCAGAGAGAUGGAGAGGGAAAUGAAGAGAGAGGCAGGGCACGCGACCUGGGGCGACUGGAUGCUCACCCACAAGGGGUCUCCGAUGGCGCUACUGCUGCUCCGGGGCGGCAGUCAUGGCGGGGCAUGCUCCUGUUCUCCCUGAAGAAAGAGAGAGAGAGACCGCGGGGUGAGGGAGAGAGAAGAACUAGGGGAAUAAGGAAAAGAGAAGGAGAGGCAGGGUACGGCGCGGGGACGGCCUGUAGGUGGCCGAAGGCUGGCCGGGUUGGCCUGGUGGAUGUUCGUCGGCGGAGGGAGCUCCGGUGGGGUGAUGUGGUCGUGGACGAGGAGGCUGCGGCCUCGGACGCCGGCAGGAAAGAAGCAGAGGGCUCGGGGCUGCAACUGCUAGCUCCUGUAGGCGCGGACGACGACAGCCGCGGGCGGCCGGACGCGUCCAGGACCAAGGGAGGAGGAGGCACGAGGCGCCGGUGCUGCUCGGGGUCGAGCCUUUGCUCUCCCGAGCAAGGAGGCGGCGGGAUCGAGGGGAAGCUUCGGGGCUGGUUCUGGUUGGUG
rnacentral:lncRNA from 1 species